GGGGAAUAUUGGACAAUGGGCGAAAGCCUGAUCCAGCCAUGCCGCGUGUGUGAAGAAGGUCUUCGGAUUGUAAAGCACUUUAAGUUGGGAGGAAGGGUUGUAGUUUAAUACGCUGCAAUCUUGACGUUACCAACAGAAUAAGCACCGGCUAACUCUGUGCCAGCAGCCGCGGUAAUACAGAGGGUGCAAGCGUUAAUCGGAAUUACUGGGCGUAAAGCGCGCGUAGGCGGCUUGAUAAGAUGGGUGUGAAAUCCCCGGGCUUAACCUGGGAACUGCAUCCAUAACUGUCUGGCUAGAGUACAGUAGAGGGUGGUGGAAUUUCCUGUGUAGCGGUGAAAUGCGUAGAUAUAGGAAGGAACACCAGUGGCGAAGGCGACCACCUGGACUGAUACUGACGCUGAGGUGCGAAAGCGUGGGGAGCAAACAGG
rnacentral:rRNA from 1 species